AUUGCUUCUUGGCCUUUUGGCUAAGAUGAAGCAUAGUACCUGUUCUUAUCAAUUUAAUAACACACACAUCCUAUCUUCUCAGUUUUUCAUUUACUAAGUUGUCUUGAAGCAAAACAUUUGAAGCAGGCAACUAAUGAGAUUUAGCUUUCUCCUGAAUGGGGUGCUAAUAACAUUCAUAUUUAGGAGACAAUAU